UUGCAUUUGAAGCCCAUGAGGAUGAGAACCUCCGGGGGCGGGGAGGUUCGACUCGAGCGAAGCGAGAGAACGUUGCGCCAGCAACGGCCC
rnacentral:sRNA from 2 species